rnacentral:rRNA from 1 species
GAUGAACGCUAGCUACAGGCUUAACACAUGCAAGUCGAGGGGUAACGAGAGGAAAGCUUGCUUUCCUUGUCGACGACCGGCGCACGGGUGAGUAACGCGUAUCCAACCUGCCCCCAACUAGGGAAUAACCUUGCGAAAGUAAGACUAAUACCCCAUAAUUUCCUCAGAUGUCAUCUGACGAGGAAUAAAGAUUUAUCGGUUGUGGAUGGGGAUGCGUCUGAUUAGCUUGUUGGCGGGGUAACGGACCACCAAGGCAACGAUCAGUAGGGGUUCUGAGAGGAAGGUCCCCCACAUUGGAACUGAGACACGGUCCAAACUCCUACGGGAGGCAGCAGUGAGGAAUAUUGGUCAAUGGGCGGAAGCCUGAACCAGCCAAGUAGCGUGCAGGAUGACGGCCCUAUGGGUUGUAAACUGCUUUUAUACAGGAAUAAAGUUAGCCACGUGUGGUUAUUUGUAGGUACUGUAUGAAUAAGGACCGGCUAAUUCCGUGCCAGCAGCCGCAGUAA